CUGAACCAGCCAAGUAGCGUGAAGGAUGACUGCCCUAUGGGUUGUAAACUUCUUUUAUAAAGGAAUAAAGUCGGGUAUGCAUACCCGUUUGCAUGUACUUUAUGAAUAAGGAUCGGCUAACUCCGUGCCAGCAGCCGCGGUAAUACGGAGGAUCCGAGCGUUAACCGGAUUUAUUGGGUUUAAAGGGAGCGUAGAUGGAUGUUUAAGUCAGUUGUGAAAGUUUGCGG
rnacentral:rRNA from 1 species